AUCAGAACCCAAUGUAGACAUCUGUAACAUGAAAUGUUACAUCAGCAGAAACUCAAAACUGAAGGAGUAUUGAUGACCAAUUAACAUUAUGAAUGUCAAAAUAAAUUAAAAGAUAAACACAAACAAAUCUAUGAAAAGUCCAUGAACAUUAAGAGUAGUCAUCUAUGAACUUCAUCAAUAAUCAAAUUAUAGACACAAAAGUUUCCCUUCAAAAGAACAGAGAGACAUCUCUACAUCAUUAGCACAAAACCUAAACUAAAUAUUUAAGGUCAGAAUAAAAUAGAACUUCUACUGCUUCUAUGACAUCAUAAUAUGACAACUAAACACAGAGCAUUCGAUUCAUUCCACGUUUUUUUAUCAAAAAAAGCAAACAUUCCAGCAAAAGAUAGUUGGCAUUAUAAUAUGGAAGAUUAAUUUGACCAUAAACAUGUAAAUGUGCUAAAAAGAAGAUUAAUACCUUGUUUAAAGGUCUGCU
rnacentral:misc_RNA from 1 species